CAUAUCAAUAAGCGGAGGAAAAGAAACUAACAAGGAUUCCCUUAGUAACGGCGAGUGAAGAGGGAGAAGCCCAGCACCGAAGCCUGCGGCAAGUUUGCUGUUAGGCAAUGUGGUGUUUAGGCCGGCUCGCAGGACUGCCGCUCCAUUCUAAGUCCAGCUUUGAGUAUGGUUUCUGGACUUGGCCCACAGAGGGUGAAAGGCCCGUUCGAAUGGAGGAUAAGAGAAGUGGGCAGUUCACUAUGCCGGCCUUCGAGUCGGGUUGUUUGAGAAUGCAGCCCAAAGCGGGUGGUAAACUCCAUCCAAGGCUAAAUACUAGCACGAGUCCGAUAGCGAACAAGUACCGUGAGGGAAAGUUGAAAAGUACUUUGAAGAGAGAGUAAACAGUACGUGAAACCGCAUAGAGGUAAACGGGUGGCGUCAAGCUGCAAGCUUAGAGGAUUCAGUCGGUCAGGAUGUUGUGUAUGCGCCUGGCGCAUCUAUCAGUCAGAGUGAGAUAUAGUGGUCCGUUGGGUAACAACGGGCCCGGCCGAAAGGCUGGGAUUUGCUUUCCGUGUUGUUGGCGGAGCUUGCCACUUGUCUAUGGACUGUCUGGCCGAUGCAUUUUCUCUAUAGUGAACACCACGACCGGUGGUACUGCCAGUCUGCUGUGGUCAAGUCGGGUUCAGUCGGCAUACGUGUCGGUUGGGCUCGAUCCUAGGCAAUCGGUGCAUGGGUAAACUCGUGCGCCGUUUUGUCAUCGGGUCUGUUUGCUGACGAUUGUAGUAGUUGGCGGAUGGCCUGUUGGACCAUGGUGGUAUGAAUAACUGUGCAGGGCACCGGUGAUUUCGGUCUCUAAUUUGGCCCGCGCACACACUACAAGUGGGUGCGGAGCGUCGUUGCAGUCUGCCUAUGAUUGGGUUUGAUUGUCGUGUUGCCUGCGCAAAGUAGGUCCGGCAUUAGCCUGAUUUCUGAUGGUAUUGCUAGCGGCGUUUCCUGUGCGGGUCGAUGAGGGCCUAAUAGUCAGUGGUGUAGUGGUAGACGAGCUACCCGACCCGUCUUGAAACACGGACCAAGGAGUUUAACAUGUGCGCAAGUCAAUGGGUGUUACGAAACCCAACGGCGAAAUGAAAGUGAAGCCUUGGCUUGUCCGAGGUGUGGUGAGAUCCUGUUGUUACUCGCAUCAGCACUUGUGCUUUCAGCACCAGGCUAAGAGCAAUAGGCGCAUCACCGGCCCGUCCAAUGAUGUCGCCGUUGGUUGGCUGUUUCAGUCGCCAGCGUGUCUUCGGGGCGGAGCAUGAGCGCACAUGUUGAGACCCGAAAGAUGGUGAACUAUGCUUGCGUAGGUUGAAGCCAGAGGAAACUCUGGUGGAGGACCGCAGCGAUUCUGACGUGCAAAUCGAUCGUCAAACGUGAGUAUAGGGGCGAAAGACUAAUCGAACCAUCUAGUAGCUGGUUCCCUCCGAAGUUUCCCUCAGGAUAGCUGGCGCCCAUUCGCAUGAUCAGUUUUAUCCGGUAAAGCGAAUGAUUAGAGGUACUGGGUUCGAAACGAGCUCAACCUAUUCUCAAACUUUAAAUGGGUGAGAUGCCCGGCUCUCCUAAAAGGAGUCGGGCGUUGAAUGUGCGGGUGCCAAGUGGGCCAUUUUUGGUAAGCAGAACUGGCGCUGUGGGAUGAACCAAACGCUCGGUUAAGGUGCCUAACGCGACGCUCAUGAGAUACCACAAAAGGUGUUGGUCAAUAUAGACAGCAGGACGGUGGCCAUGGAAGUCGGCAUCCGCUAAGGAGUGUGUA
rnacentral:rRNA from 1 species